UUGAAUUUACAUAUCUGUAACAGAGGAAAAUGCAGCUGAAACUUAAAAAGAUUUGACUGGAAGCAGCGGUCCAGAUGUAGAGUUUUGGAAGUGUGGCAGAACAAAAUUGAGAACGUCUUUGAGAUCCAGCUUCCGCAAACCACUUUUCGCACUUUUUAAAAGCGAAAGUAAGGGAAUAAAACUGCUCAAAUCUUUGGAAAGCCACGCUGAAGAGAUACAAUCAACUUUAAUUUGGCUUGCG